UACGUAGGGUGCGAGCGUUAAUCGGAAUUACUGGGCGUAAAGCGUGCGCAGGCGGUUUUGUAAGCCAGGUGUGAAAUCCCCGGGCUCAACCUGGGAAUGGCAUUGGUGACUGCACGGCUAGAGUGUGUCAGAGGGGGGUAGAAUUCCACGUGUAGCAGUGAAAUGCGUAGAGAUGUGGAGGAAUACCGAUGGCGAAGGCAGCCCCCUGGGAUAACACUGACGCUCAUGCACGAAAGCGUGGGGAGCAAACAGG
rnacentral:rRNA from 1 species